GGGGGUGUAUUUGGUUUCGACAGCAAGUUAGAAGGUUAGAUAGCGAGUAGUGGAGAUGCCAGGCCACUAUAAAAGGCAUAAAAUAAAUAUAAACGCUGAUAAUAAAGAAUUAGCAUUUGCUGCCUAAUUGCGGCAACGUUCUACCUUUGAAACCUACGUCUUAGGAUAGAGCGUCGAUUAGUAGGAAACGAAGCUAAUAGAUGCUUUUGCUAUUAGUGGGAUAUUAAAAAAGCUACUUAAAAUAAAGUUUGUUUGUUGACGAUAUUUUAAGGAAUACCAAUAGCAAACUGCACUCGGAGAAGUCUAGCUGGAAGAUUUGUUGGACAGGAGUUCAACUCUCCUCACCUCCACCA
rnacentral:tmRNA from 1 species